rnacentral:rRNA from 1 species
GAUGAACGCUAGCGGCAGGCCUAACACAUGCAAGUCGAGGGAGAGGUUACCUUCGGGUAACCAAAACCGGCGCACGGGUGCGUAACGCGUAUACAAUCUGCCUUUCACAUAGGGAUAGCCCGAAGAAAUUUGGAUUAAUACCUAAUGGUAUAUAAGUGCGGCAUCGUUUUUAUAUUAAAGCUACUGUGGUGAAAGAUGAGUAUGCGUUCUAUUAGCUAGUUGGAGAGGUAACGGCUCCCCAAGGCGACGAUAGAUAGGGGUUCUGAGAGGGAUGUCCCCCACACUGGUACUGAGAUACGGACCAGACUCCUACGGGAGGCAGCAGUGAGGAAUAUUGGACAAUGGUCGGAAGACUGAUCCAGCCAUGCCGCGUGCAGGAUGAAGGUCCUAUGGAUUGUAAACUGCUUUUGGAAGGGAAGAAUAAGGAGUACGUGUACUUUGAUGACGGUACCUUACGAAUAAGCAUCGGCUAACUCCGUG